GGCGCAUGAGGCAUCUCUCCUGUGUGUUAUCAGCAAUUUUCGACCCUUUUUCGGCCCUUCUUCUAUCUUGUGACGCCUUGGAACUUGAAAUAAAUUUUCUUCACUUUGUAUUUUCUUCAUAAAACUUCUAACAACCAUUGUCUUCAAUCUUCAUAUCGUCAAUCCUUCACGUGAUGUCUUGAUUUGUUGAUUUACAGGAUUUCUCACUACAAAACUCUCAAAACACCUAUGGAGUUGCAUGAUUUAGAUAAGAGUGAAUUUUUAAUUUUUGAAGAAGUUAAACUAACCCACCUAAAUUGAUACCGGAGAGAAUUGAACCCUAGACCUUGAGGAGGAGCAAACUCCAAGGUCCCAAGCCAACACCACUAGGCCAACCCAAAUGAGUUUUAGAUAAGUGUGAAUUAAAACGACACGAAUGAAAACAAUACAAAAAGUUCCUCAAACUAUUGACAAUUCCUCUAAUAGACUUCUAAUUUACCUUCAAAUGCAAAUAAUUACACUAAAAACAUAGCUAAAGACAUCAUAUGUUAAUCCAAAAUCAAUAGACAUGAAAAUCCCAUCAUUCAUGUGGUACAAAUUUCAAAUUCACUUUAAAAGCAAUAGGUUCUAUUUGGUAUACUUGAAAUGAUUGGAAUGAAUGAAUGAAACACGAUCGGGAUGGGGAAGAAUUAAUCAAUCGUUGUGGAGAACAACCCGAGAUCGAAAUCAGAAACAAUGUAUUGGUAUGGAGUACUGAAAGAGAUGAAACAUAAUUAUGUGUUUAAGGCAAAACUGUGUAGGAACAAAAUGUGUUUAACAUUAACUUUUGAGAGUUUUGAUGAUAAUAAGAUAUUAAAAAUUGUCAAUUGCUCCUGUUAUUCUUUGUCAUCUUCUAAGUUAACCAUGACUGGUUGUUUAUCUAAAUAGAGGAAUGAGAACCAAAAGUUAAAGAAGGGUAAUAUCCACAAUCAAGAAAGUUAAAAUAUAAAAAAAUUAUAAAAUUAACUUUCUAUGUAACUAAUGGCAUUUUGCUUCUGGUAGGAGGGAACACAACACAUAUUGGCAUGAGGGAACACCACACUUAUUGGCUCUACAUCUUUCUGUAUUAUAAAAAAAAAAAAAAAAAAACUCAUACUCUACAUCUUUAUACAGUCCUUAAGAAGUCCGCUAAAAAACAUAUCGCUUUAAGAAGAAUAUUUUACUUUCUGGUUGUCUAAAACUUCAUAUUUGGAACUGGAUUCCAUGGAAAAAUCUAUUUUCUCUUUAUGAUACAAAAGCAUUGCAAUGUUAAGUUGUAGCUUAACUAUAUAUAAGGGUAAAUUAUACAUUAGAUCAUUCACUAAAAGAAUGAUGCAAGCUAUGGACUUUACGUAAUGAAAAAUUCCUCAAUAUUCAUGAAGUCAAAUUCAUGUCAUGCAUCACCUUGUUAGUGAUUGUUCUACAGCAACAUGUUAGGUGAUCUUUCAUAUAUAUUGAAACAUUUGGUAAAUGGGCGCUUAAUAAACCUUUGCAUUGAUUCAAGUGUAUAUGAUCAUGACCUUUGGUAAAGGGGUGUUUAAUGAACCUUAGCAUUAAUUCAAGUGUAUAAGAUCAUAACCUUUGGCAAAAGGGUGCUUAAUGAACCAUAACAUUGAUUCAAGUCAAAGGGGUGUUUUCUCUCAUGAGAAGGGUCAUAUUAUGUACUGUAAAUGUUUGGCAUUUGGGCAUUAAUUUUGUACAAAAUUAUGUUACAUUAACAACAUAAUUCUCCAUCAUUCUUUUACUCUAAAUCAUCCAUCAAUUCUCUAAUGCAUGAGUGAAUUGUUGGAAUCAUAAAUUUGUAAAAUACUGUUAGGAGAUACGCUUGGUGUGGUUGUGCAAUACACGUCAAGGAACUCAUAGUAUUAUGAAGGGGAUUCGCCGAUCAUUCCUAUUGCAUCCAAUAUAUAGUUAUUGGUGGGGGCGAAUCGAACCUAAAGGUUAGUAUGGCAACCCCAUGCGUUUUGAGUUUUACAUGCAUAACCAUUAAACUUUUGAAGUUUCAAGUGCAGCAGCCUCUUCCCAACAAUCAAGAUAUAUAACAAUCUUUGAAAUUUAUUUGCAAACUUCAUCAUACUCAUCUUCAUCAUCUUCUUGGUCAAGUUUUUGCAGCAGACCCCUAACACAAACAAAAUCCAACAAUCUUUAGGUUCGAUUUAUAUUGUUGGAUUUUGUUUGUGUUGGAGGUCUGCUGCAAUAAGUUCACCAAGAAGAUGAUGAAGAGUGCACAAAAAUUUCAAAUAUUGUUGUAUAUCUUGAUUGUUGGGAAGAGGUUGUUGCACUUGAAACCUUAAAAGUUUAAUGGUUAUGCAUGUAAAACUCAAAUCGCAUGGGGUUGCCAUACUAACCUUUAGGUUCGAUUCGCCCCCACCAAUAACUAUAUAUUGGAUGCAAUAGGAAUGAUCGGCGAAUCCCCUUCAUAAUACUAUGAGUUCCUUGAUGUGUAUUGCACAACCACACCAUGCGUAUCUCCUAACAGUAUUUUACAAAUUUAUGGUUCCAACAAUUCACUAAUGCAUUAGAGAAUUGAUGGAUGAUUUAAAGUAAAAGAAUGAUGGAGAAUUAUGUUGUUAAUGUAACAUAAUUUUGUACAAAAUUAUGUAUAAUUGUUGUUGUCGUGUUAAACUAAUGCCCAAAUGUCAAGCAUUUAUAGUGCAUUAUAUGAACCUUCACAUGAGAGAAAACACCCAUUUGACUUGAAUCAAUGUUAUGGUUCAUUAAACACACUUUUGUCAAAUGUUAUGAUCAUCAUAUACACUUGAAUUAAUGUUAAGGUUCAUUAAUACCCUUUUGUCAAAGAUCAUGAUUAUAUACACUUGAAUUAAUGUUAAGGUUCAUUAAUAUCUUUUUAGCACACUUGUAGUUAUUUGAGAAGUGAAGAUACAGUUAAGCUAAAAAUUGCUUCAAAUAUGGGACUGCAUAAAGAAGAAUAUGAUUUUAUGAAUACUACAAAAAAAAUGUUGGAGUCCCAAGCAUCAAAUUAAAGUAUAAAAAACACAUGAAUCAAAUAACAAUCAUUUUAGUGAAUAUUUGAUUAAUGUUAUAGAGAAAGAAUAAAAACUUUAAAUUAAAACAAAGUUUUAACAAACAAUAAAAUACGAUUAGAUAUAAACAUUAAUUAAAUACAAAGAUAAUAUACUAUCACAUACAUCAUAAGAUUAUAAAAAUGAUAUAAAUGCAGAAAUAUUUUAAAGAAAAUAAUAGAUGGAUAAAAAUAUGAUCAAUUCAAUAAAUAAUUUAUUUGUGUUAUAAAAUUGAAAGUUCAAUACCUAUUUAUAAUAAAGACAAAUAUUAACAAGUGUUCGAUAUACCUGUGGUACUUCAGCGAUUUGAUAUGUACGAUAAAUAAUUAAUUUUUAAAGAAGAUCUUCAUCUAACCCAUCAUCCUUGCCUUCAUCUUUUUUUUUUUGACAAGAUAUUUGCCUUCAUCUUUAUUGAGCGUAGAUCUUAACUUUACCCAAAACUAAAAACAUAGUCGAUCCUAUAAAAUUGUAAGAUCAAAACUACUAUCGAAAUCAUUUGUACUAUUGUUAAGAGACUCGAUUUGCUCUUCAAUUUGUAAACCAAAUCAUAGAUUUAGUAAUCGAUAAAUCGUUUAAGCGAUGAGUUGUUGUAUAAGAACAAAGAAUACACAACAACACUGGAAACAAAUAACAAAUGAUACAAAGAGCUGAUAAAAAAAAUAUAUAUAAAUUGGAAAUCAAAAUCGAGAAAUAAAG
rnacentral:lncRNA from 1 species